rnacentral:rRNA from 1 species
UCCGGAGGGUGCAAGCGUUGCUCGGAAUUAUUGGGCGUAAAGCGUACGCAGGCGGCGCGACAAGUCGAGUGUGAAAUCCCGGGGCUCAACCCCGGACGUGCAUUCGAGACUGCCGUGCUUGAGUGCGGGAGAGGGAAGCGGAAUUCCUGGUGUAGAGGUGAAAUUCGUAGAUAUCAGGAGGAACACCGGUGGCGAAAGCGGCUUCCUGGCCCGACACUGACGCUCAUGUACGAAAGCGUGGGGAGCAAACAGG